ACGGGAGGCAGCAGUGGGGAAUAUUGGACAAUGGGGGAAACCCUGAUCCAGCGACGCCGCGUGAGUGAAGAAGUAUUUCGGUAUGUAAAGCUCUAUCAGCAAGAAAGAAAAUGACGGUACUUGACUAAGAAGCCCCGGCUAACUACGUGCCAGCAGCCGCGGUAAUACGUAGGGGGCAAGCGUUAUCCGGAUUUACUGGGUGUAAAGGGAGCGUAGACGGCGAUGCAAGUCUGAAGUGAAAGCCCGGGGCUCAACCCCGGAACUGCUUUGGAAACUGUAUAGCUAGAGUGCAGGAGAGGUAUGUGGAAUUCCUAGUGUAGCGGUGAAACGCGUAGAUAUUAGGAGGAACACCAGUGGCGAAGGCGACAUACUGGACUGUAACUGACGUUGAGGCUCGAAGGCGUGGGGAGCAAACAGGAUUAGAUACCCUGGUA
rnacentral:rRNA from 1 species